GGACGGGUGAGUAAUGCCUAGGAAUCUGCCUGGUAGUGGGGGAUAACGUUCCGAAAGGAACGCUAAUACCGCAUACGUCCUACGGGAGAAAGCAGGGGACCUUCGGGCCUUGCGCUAUCAGAUGAGCCUAGGUCGGAUUAGCUAGUUGGUGAGGUAAUGGCUCACCAAGGCGACGAUCCGUAACUGGUCUGAGAGGAUGAUCAGUCACACUGGAACUGAGACACGGUCCAGACUCCUACGGGAGGCAGCAGUGGGGAAUAUUGGACAAUGGGCGAAAGCCUGAUCCAGCCAUGCCGCGUGUGUGAAGAAGGUCUUCGGAUUGUAAAGCACUUUAAGUUGGGAGGAAGGGCAUUAACCUAAUACGUUAGUGUUUUGACGUUACCGACAGAAUAAGCACCGGCUAACUUCGUGCCAGCAGCCGCGGUAAUACGAAGGGUGCAAGCGUUAAUCGGAAUUACUGGGCGUAAAGCGCGCGUAGGUGGUUCGUUAAGUUGGAUGUGAAAGCCCCGGGCUCAACCUGGGAACUGCAUCCAAAACUGGCGAGCUAGAGUACGGUAGAGGGUGGUGGAAUUUCCUGUGUAGCGGUGAAAUGCGUAGAUAUAGGAA
rnacentral:rRNA from 1 species